rnacentral:rRNA from 1 species
GACGAACGCUGGCGGCGUGCUUAACACAUGCAAGUCGAACGGUGAACCCCUUCUUUGGGGAUGUGCUGUGAUCGGGAACGUAUGACGUGCGCAAGCUGCCCCUGCCCCUGGGAUUACUAUAAGUUCUGGGGGCUAAUACCGGAUGCUCACCGCAUCUCGUAUGGGUGGUGGUGGAUUGGAUUUUCGGUUGGGGAUGGGCUCGCGGCCUAUCAGCUCGUUGGUGGGGUAGUGUCCUACCAAGGCGACGACGGGUAGCCGGCCUGAGAGGGUGACCGGCCACACUGGGACUGAGACACGGCCCAGACUCCUACGGGAGGCAGCAGUGGGGAAUAUUGCACAAUGGGCGGAAGCCUGACGCAGCAACGCCGCGUGAGGGAUGACGGCCUUCGGGUUGUAAACCGCUUUCGGCAGGGACGAAGCGCGAGUGACGGUACCUGCUAAAGAAGCACCGGCCAACUACGUG